UGCCAGCAGCCGCGGUAAUACAGAGGGUGCGAGCGUUAAUCGGAAUUACUGGGCGUAAAGGGUACGUAGGCGGUUAAUUAAGUCGGAUGUGAAAGCCCAGAGCUUAACUCUGGAAUUGCAUCCGAUACCGGUUAACUAGAGUACAGUAGAGGGAAGCGGAAUUCCUAGUGUAGCGGUGAAAUGCGUAGAUAUUAGGGGGAACACCAGUGGCGAAGGCGGUUUUCUAGCUUACUCCUGACACUCAAGCGCGAAAGCAAGGGGAGCGAACAGGAUUAGAUA
rnacentral:rRNA from 1 species